GGCACCCCAAUGGCUCCCAGCAACAGCUUUUUAGCCCUCAUCAUCUCGAUUUUUCUCUGAAUUUUUCAUCGUCUCUCAUCACCUCGCAACGCCUCCCUUGAUUUCUCCCUAUUCUGCUGUCCAUCGGUGAUUCUUUCUUAUUUUGGAUACCAAAAAUCAGAUUAAAAUCUGUCAAAAAGUCAAGUAAAUCUCUUCAAUCCUCCUCUUUCAAUCUACUAUGAAUUUUAAACUUAAUUUUUUGCCGAUUUAUUGUCAGAAAAAUUUUUGAAAUCCUAGUUCAGCAAGUUUCCCUAUUUUUUUAUUUUUUUUAUCUUUUCGGCACCGUUAGGCCGCCGUCGGUCACCGG
rnacentral:lncRNA from 1 species